rnacentral:tRNA from 1 species
GGUGGGCUACUCAAGUGGCUGAAGAGGCGGGUUUGCUAAACCUGUAGGGUGCCGCAAGGUGCCGCCGGGGUUCGAAUCCCCGGCCCACCGCCA